CAAUGAGGUAGGGUACUGGCAACAGUGCUCUGCUGAAAUAUUUUCACCCAUGUCUUUUGCGCACUUUUUGUUUCCUGGGCGAGUUUGCUCGCCACCAGGACCCCCAUAUGAACCUUUUUUGUUUUUGCACUCAGCGUCAGUACAAUAAUUUAAUCUAUUAAAACUUUCAACAACGGAUCUCUUGGUUCUGGCAUCGAUGAAGAACGCAGCGAAAUGCGAUACGUAGUGUGAAUUGCAGAAUUCAGUGAAUCAUCGAAUCUUUGAACGCACAUUGCGCCCUUUGGUAUUCCAAAGGGCAUGCCUGUUCGAGCGUCAUUUGUACCCUCAAGCUUUGCUUGGUGUUGGGCGUCUUAUUGUCUCUCCGUCUCGGGGAGACUCGCCUUAAAACAAUUGGCAGCCGGCCUACUGGUUUCGGAGCGCAGCACAAAUUUGCGCUUGCAAUCAGCCAAGGGCGGCAUCCAUGAAGCCUUUUUUCUCUCACAUUUUGACCUCGGAUCAGGUAGGGAUACCCGCUGAACUUAAGCAUAUCAAUAGGCCGGGAGGAAAAUCGUUUUUGAUUGACGU
rnacentral:rRNA from 1 species